rnacentral:rRNA from 1 species
UGGGGAAUAUUGCACAAUGGGCGCAAGCCUGAUGCAGCCAUGCCGCGUGUGUGAAGAAGGCCUUCGGGUUGUAAACCUCUUUUAGCAAGGAAGAAGCGAAAGUGACGGUACUUGCAGAAAAAGCGCCGGCUAACUACGUGCCAGCAGCCGCGGUAAUACGUAGGGCGCAAGCGUUAUCCGGAAUUAUUGGGCGUAAAGAGCUCGUAGGCGGUUUGUCGCGUCUGCUGUGAAAACCCGAGGCUCAACCUCGGGCCUGCAGUGGGUACGGGCAGACUAGAGUGCGGUAGGGGAGAUUGGAACUCCUGGUGUAGCGGUGGAAUGCGCAGAUAUCAGGAAGAACACCGAUGGCGAAGGCAGAUCUCUGGGCCGUAACUGACGCUGAGGGGUCGAAAGGGCUGGGGAGCAAACAGGCUUAGAUACCCUGGUAGUCCACCCCGUAAACGUUGGGAACUAGUUGUGGGGGUCCAUUCCACGGAUUCCGUGACGCAGCUAACGCAUUAAGUUCCCCCGCCUGGGGGAGUACGGCCGCAAGGCU